rnacentral:rRNA from 1 species
GACGAACGCUGGCGGCGUGCUUAACACAUGCAAGUCGAACGGAAAGGCCCUGCUUUUGUGGGGUGCUCGAGUGGCGAACGGGUGAGUAACACGUGAGUAACCUGCCCUUGACUUUGGGAUAACUUCAGGAAACUGGGGCUAAUACCGGAUAGGAGCUCCUGCUGCAUGGUGGGGGUUGGAAAGUUUCGGCGGUUGGGGAUGGACUCGCGGCUUAUCAGCUUGUUGGUGGGGUAGUGGCUUACCAAGGCUUUGACGGGUAGCCGGCCUGAGAGGGUGACCGGCACUAUGGGGACGGAGCGCACGCCCAGACACAGACGAGCGGCAGUAGUGGGUACUGGUGGACGAGGGGAGGAAGCACGAGGCAGCACGGCCGCGGGCGGGACGGUGGCCGCGGGUGUGUGAACCGCUUGCGCAGGGGAGGAAGGGUGGGGGAGGGGGAGGGGCAAAGAAGCAGCGUAAAACGACGCGCCAGAGGCGGCGGUAACAGAGCGAAAGCGCACGCGCCCGAUG